GAUGAAGAACGUAGCGAAAUGCGAUAAGUAAUGUGAAUUGCAGAAUUCAGUGAAUCAUCGAAUCUUUGAACGCGCAUUGCGCCCGCCAGUAUUCUGGCGGGCAUGCCUGUCCGAGCGUCAUUUCAACCCUCGGGACCCUUCGGGGAACCGGUGUUGGGGACCCGUCCGCCGACCCACGGCGGCCGGCCCCGAAAUACAGUGGCGGCCCUGCGGCGACCUCCUCUGCGUAGUAGCGAUACCUCGCAGCUGGAAAGCGGCAGCGGCCACGCCGUAAAACCCCCACUUCUAUGGUUGACCUCGGAUCAGGUAGGAAUACCCGCUGAACUUAAGCAUAUCAAUAAGCGGAGGA
rnacentral:misc_RNA from 1 species